rnacentral:rRNA from 1 species
UUAAGCGACUAAGCGUACACGGUGGAUGCCUAGGCAGUCAGAGGCGAUGAAGGGCGUGCUAAUCUGCGAAAAGCGUCGGUAAGGUGAUAUGAACCGUUACAACCGACGAUACCCGAAUGGGGAAACCCAGUGCAAUUCGUUGCACUAUUGCAUGGUGAAUACAUAGCCAUGCAAGGCGAACCGGGGGAACUGAAACAUCUAAGUACCCCGAGGAAAAGAAAUCAACCGAGAUUCCCCCAGUAGCGGCGAGCGAACGGGGAGGAGCCCAGAACCUGAAUCAGCGUAUGUGUUAGUGGAAGCGUCUGGAAAGUCGCACGGUACAGGGUGAUAGUCCCGUACACAAAAAUGCAUAUGUUGUGAGUUCGAUGAGUAGGGCGGGACACGUGACAUCCUGUCUGAAUAUGGGGGGACCAUCCUCCAAGGCUAAAUACUCCUGACUGACCGAUAGUGAACCAGUACCGUGAGGGAAAGGCGAAAAGAACCCCGGCGAGGGGAGUGAAAUAGAACCUGAAACCGUGUACGUACAAGCAGUGGGAGCACCUUCGUGGUGUGACUGCGUACCUUUUGUAUAAUGGGUCAGCGACUUAUAUUUUGUAGCAAGGUUAACCGAAUAGGGGAGCCGUAGGGAAACCGAGUCUUAACUGGGCGAAUAGUUGCAAGGUAUAGACCCGAAACCCGGUGAUCUAGCCAUGGGCAGGUUGAAGGUUGGGUAACACUAACUGGAGGACCGAACCGACUAAUGUUGAAAAAUUAGCGGAUGACUUGUGGCUGGGGGUGAAAGGCCAAUCAAACCGGGAGAUAGCUGGUUCUCCCCGAAAGCUAUUUAGGUAGCGCCUCGUGAACUCAUCUUCGGGGGUAGAGCACUGUUUCGGCUAGGGGGUCAUCCCGACUUACCAAACCGAUGCAAACUCCGAAUACCGAAGAAUGUUAUCACGGGAGACACACGGCGGGUGCUAACGUCCGUCGUGAAGAGGGAAACAACCCAGACCGCCAGCUAAGGUCCCAAAGUCAUGGUUAAGUGGGAAACGAUGUGGGAAGGCAUAGACAGCCAGGAUGUUGGCUUAGAAGCAGCCAUCAUUUAAAGAAAGCGUAAUAGCUCACUGGUCGAGUCGGCCUGCGCGGAAGAUGUAACGGGGCUAAACCAUGCACCGAAGCUGCGGCAGCGACGCUUAGGCGUUGUUGGGUAGGGGAGCGUUCUGUAAGCCGUUGAAGGUGACCUGUGAGGGUUGCUGGAGGUAUCAGAAGUGCGAAUGCUGACAUAAGUAACGAUAAUGCGGGUGAAAAACCCGCACGCCGGAAGACCAAGGGUUCCUGUCCAACGUUAAUCGGGGCAGGGUGAGUCGACCCCUAAGGCGAGGCUGAAAAGCGUAGUCGAUGGGAAACAGGUUAAUAUUCCUGUACUUGGUGUUACUGCGAAGGGGGGACGGAGAAGGCUAGGCUAGCCGGGCGACGGUUGUCCCGGUUUAAGCAUGUAGGCGGAGUGACUUGGUAAAUCCGGUUGCUUAUCAACGCUGAGGUGUGAUGACGAGUCACUACGGUGAUGAAGUAGUUGAUGCCAAGCUUCCAGGAAAAGCCUCUAAGCAUCAGGUAACAUUAAAUCGUACCCCAAACCGACACAGGUGGUCAGGUAGAGAAUACUCAGGCGCUUGAGAGAACUCGGGUGAAGGAACUAGGCAAAAUGGUGCCGUAACUUCGGGAGAAGGCACGCUGGCAUUAGGUAAAGAGACUUGCUCUCGGCGCCGAAGCCAGUCGCAGAUACCAGCUGGCUGCAACUGUUUAAUAAAAACACAGCACUGUGCAAACACGAAAGUGGACGUAUACGGUGUGACGCCUGCCCGGUGCUGGAAGGUUAAUUGAUGGGGUCAGCCGCAAGGCGAAGCUCUUGAUCGAAGCCCCAGUAAACGGCGGCCGUAACUAUAACGGUCCUAAGGUAGCGAAAUUCCUUGUCGGGUAAGUUCCGACCUGCACGAAUGGCGUAAUGAUGGCCAGGCUGUCUCCACCCGAGACUCAGUGAAAUUGAACUCGCUGUGAAGAUGCAGUGUACCCGCGGCAAGACGGAAAGACCCCGUGAACCUUUACUAUAGCUUGACACUGAACAUUGAGCCUUGAUGUGUAGGAUAGGUGGGAGGCAUUGAAGUGUGGACGCCAGUCUGCAUGGAGCCAACCUUGAAAUACCACCCUUUAAUGUUUGAUGUUCUAACUCGGCCCCAUAAUCUGGGGUGAGGACAGUGUCUGGUGGGUAGUUUGACUGGGGCGGUCUCCUCCCAAAGAGUAACGGAGGAGCACGAAGGUUAGCUAAUCACGGUCGGACAUCGUGAGGUUAGUGCAAAGGCAUAAGCUAGCUUGACUGCGAGAGUGACGGCUCGAGCAGGUACGAAAGUAGGUCUUAGUGAUCCGGUGGUUCUGAAUGGAAGGGCCAUCGCUCAACGGAUAAAAGGUACUCCGGGGAUAACAGGCUGAUACCGCCCAAGAGUUCAUAUCGACGGCGGUGUUUGGCACCUCGAUGUCGGCUCAUCACAUCCUGGGGCUGAAGUAGGUCCCAAGGGUAUGGCUGUUCGCCAUUUAAAGUGGUACGCGAGCUGGGUUUAGAACGUCGUGAGACAGUUCGGUCCCUAUCUGCCGUGGGCGUUGGAAGAUUGAGAGGGGCUGCUCCUAGUACGAGAGGACCGGAGUGGACGAAUCACUGGUGUUCGGGUUGUCAUGCCAAUGGCAUUGCCCGGUAGCUAAAUUCGGAAGAGAUAACCGCUGAAAGCAUCUAAGCGGGAAACUUGCCUCGAGAUGAGUCUUCCCUGGGGCUUUAAGUCCCCUGAAGGAACGUUAAAGACUAUGACGUUGAUAGGCUGGGUGUGUAAGUGCAGCGAUGCAUUGAGCUAACCAGUACUAAUGAUCCGUGAGGCUUAACCUU